GGCUGGGUAGCAAAGUGGUAAUGCAAUGGCCUGCAAAGCCUUCAUCGCCGGUUCGAUUCCGGCCCCGGCCU
rnacentral:tRNA from 1 species